rnacentral:rRNA from 1 species
GACAGAGGGUGCAAACGUUGUUCGGAAUUACUGGGCGUAAAGCGCGUGUAGGCGGCUAUGUAAGUCGGGGCGUGAAAUCCCACGGCUCAACCGUGGAAGUGCACCCGAAACUGCGUAGCUAGAGUCCUGGAGAGGAAGGUGGAAUGCUUGGUGUAGAGGUGAAAUUCGUAGAUAUCAAGCGGAACACCGGUGGCGAAGGCGGCCUUCUGGACAGUGACUGACGCUGAGACGCGAAAGCGUGGGGAGCAAACAGGG